rnacentral:rRNA from 1 species
CCUACGGGAGGCAGCAGUGAGGAAUAUUGGUCAAUGGGCGCGAGCCUGAACCAGCCAAGUAGCGUGAAGGAUGACUGCCCUACGGGUUGUAAACUUCUUUUAUAAAGGAAUAAAGUGAGGCAAGUGUGCCUUAUUGUAUGUACUUUAUGAAUAAGGAGCGGCUAACUCCGUGCCAGAAGCCGCGGUAAUACGGAGGAUCCGAGCGUUAUCCGGAUUGAUUGGGUUUAAAGGGAGCGUAGAUGGGUUGUUAAGUCAGUUGUGAAAGUUUGCGGCUCAACCGUAAAAUUGCACUUGUUACUGGCAGCCUUGAGUACAGUUGCGGUAGGCGGAAUUCGUGGUGUAGCGG